rnacentral:RNase_P_RNA from 1 species
GCCGGGAGCCAGACGGCCGCACCGUAAUUUGCGGUGAGGAAAGUCUGGGCACCACAGGGCAAGGAUGCCAGCUAACGGCUGGUCAGCGAGCCUGAGCACCUCCACCCGCGCCUGGGUAGGGGAAAGCGGCGAAGCUGAAGGACAGUGCCACAGAAACGAGACGGCCCAGGCGGCGAUACACCAGGCGCAGUGUGCCGGCAAGGUCAAGGUGAAACGGUGCGGUAAGAGCGCACCAGGUUCCCAGGAGACUGGGAGCGCUGGUAAACCCCAUCCGGUGCAAGACCCGACAGAGCGGCAGGGCGGCCCGCCCGCGAAGACCGCCAGGAUGGUCGCUUGAGGUGUCUGGCGACAGGCAUCCCAGAGAGAUGGUCGUCCCUGUGCCCGCGUAGCGGCAGAAUCAGGACAGAACCCAGCUUAUCGGCUCCCGGAGUGC